AGUGGCGCACGGGUGAGUAACGCGUGGGAAUGUACCGUUUAGUGGGGGAUAACCAAGGGAAACUUUGGCUAAUACCGCAUACGCCCUUCGGGGGAAAGAUUUAUCGCUAAACGAUCAGCCCGCGUGAGAUUAGGUAGUUGGUGGGGUAAUGGCCUACCAAGCCGACGAUCUCUAGCUGGUCUGAGAGGAUGAUCAGCCACACUGGAACUGAGACACGGUCCAGACUCCUACGGGAGGCAGCAGUGGGGAAUAUUGGACAAUGGGGGCAACCCUGAUCCAGCCAUGCCGCGUGAGUGAUGAAGGCCUUAGGGUUGUAAAGCUCUUUUACCGAUGAAGAUAAUGACGGUAGUCGGAGAAAAAGCCCCGGCUAACUUCGUGCCAGCAGCCGCGGUAAUACGAAGGGGGCUAGCGUUGUUCGGAUUUACUGGGCGUAAAGCGUGCGUAGGUGGUCUCGUAAGUCAGUGGUGAAAUCCCGGAGCUUAACUCCGGAACUGCCAUUGAAACUGCGAGGCUUGAAUCUCAAAGGGGGUGGCGGAAUUCCUAAUGUAGGGGUGAAAUCCGUAGAUAUUAGGAGGAACACCGAUGGCGAAGGCAGCCACCUGGGUGAGUAUUGACACUGAGGCACGAAAGCGUGGGGAUCAAACAGGAUUAGAUACCCUGGUAGUCCACGCCAUAAACGAUGAAUGCUAGUUGUUGGGGG
rnacentral:rRNA from 1 species